CAGUCGCCGCGGUAGUACAGAGGUCUCAAGCGUUGUUCGGAUUCAUUGGGCGUAAAGGGAGCGUAGGCGGUCGGGUAAGUUGGAUGUGAAAUCCUGGGGCUCAACCUCAGAACUGCAUUCAAUACUGCUUGGCUAGAGUACUGGAGAGGUGAGUGGAAUUCACGGUGUAGCAGUGAAAUGCGUAGAUAUCGUGAGGAAGACCAGCGGCGAAGGCGGCUCACUGGACAGUUACUGACGCUGAUGCUCGAAGGCCAGGGGAGCAAACGGGAUUAGAUACCCCGGUAGUCCCUGUCUCUUAUAC
rnacentral:rRNA from 1 species